rnacentral:rRNA from 1 species
GAUGAACGCGGGCGGCGUGCCUAAUACAUGCAAGUCGAGCGAAUGGAUUAAGAGCUUGCUCUAUGAAGUUAGCGGCGGACGGGUGAGUAACACGUGGGUAACCUGCCCAUAAGACUGGGAUAACUCCGGGAAACCGGGGCUAAUACCGGAUAACAUUUUGAACCGCAUGGUUCGAAAUUGAAAGGCGGCUUCGGCUGUCACUUAUGGAUGGACCCGCGUCGCAUUAGCUAGUUGGUGAGGUAACGGCUCACCAAGGCAACGAUGCGUAGCCGACCUGAGAGGGUGAUCGGCCACACUGGGACUGAGGCACGGCCCGGACUCCUACGGGAGGCAGCAGUAGGGAAUCUUCCGCAAUGGACGAAAGUCUGACGGAGCAACGCCGCGUGAGUGAUGAAGGCUUUCGGGUCGUAAAACUCUGUUGUUAGGGAAGAACAAGUGCUAGUUGAAUAAGCUGGCACCUUGACGGUACCUAACCAGAAAGCCACGGCUAACUACGUGCCAGCCGCCGCGGUAA